rnacentral:misc_RNA from 1 species
UACGAAGGGCCCGAGCGUUAAUCGGAAUCACUGGGCUUAAAGCGUACGUAGGCGGGCGCGCAGGCAUCUUGUGAAAGCCCUCGGCUCAACCGAGGAACUGCUUGGUGAACCGCGCGUCUUGAGGCAAGUAGGGGCUGUCGGAACGCUAGGUGGAGUGGUGAAAUGCGUUGAUAUCUAGCGGAACGCCGAAGGAGAAAUCAGGCAGCUGGGCUUGUUCUGACGCUGAGGUACGAAAGCGUGGGGAGCGAACGGG